GGAGUCUAGCAUGUGCGCGAGUCAUUGGGANNNNNCGAAACCCAAAGGCGCAAUGAAAGUAAAGGCCCGCGUUCGCGCGGGCCCAGGGAAGAUGGGCGUNGGUCUCGUAGCCGCGCUCCGCAUUCCCGGGGCGUCUCAUUCUCAUCGCGAGAAGAGGCGUACCAAUAGCGUACACGCUGGGACCCGAAAGAUGGUGAACUAUGCCUGGUCAGGACGAAGUCAGGGGAAACCCUGAUGGAGGUCCGNAGCGAUUCUGACGUGCAAAUCGAUCGUCGGAACUGGGUAUAGGGGCGAAAGACUAAUCGAACCAUCUAGUAGCUGGUUCCCUCCGAAGUUUCCCUCAGGAUAGCUGGCGCUCAUCGAUUACGAGUCUCAUCCGGUAAAGCGAAUGAUUAGAGGCAUUGGGGCCGAAACGGCCUCAACCUAUUCUCAAACUUUAAAUGGGUGAGAUCUCCGGCUUGCUUGAACCGAUUAUGAAGCCGGAGAUUACGGAUCAGAGUGCCAAGUGGGCCAUUUUUGGUAAGCAGAACUGGCGCUGUGGGAUGAACCAAACGUUGAGUUAAAGCGCCAAANUCGACGCUCAUCUGACACCAUGAAAGGCGUUGGUAACUUAAGACAGCAGGACGGUGGCCAUGGAAGUC
rnacentral:rRNA from 1 species